rnacentral:lncRNA from 1 species
UUGUCCUGGAUCUUAAAGAUGCCUUCUUUAUAGUGUCCCUCCAUCCUGACUCUUAUUAGCUCUUUGCCUUCACAUGGGAAGACCCUACAUCCUUUAGGUCUCAUCAGCUGACAUGGAAAGUCCUACCCCAAGGCUUCAGGGACAGUCCCUAUCUCUUUGGGCAAGGCUUGGCAUGGGAUCUAACUGCUUGUGACUUAGGGGGCAGCACACUCUUACAAUAUGUGAAUGACCUUCUAUGCGGUUCAUCAUUCAAGGCUUGUGAACUCACACUGCUCAGCUCCUCAAUUUCCUGGGGUCCCUGGACUAUUGGGCCUCUCCAGCCAAAGCCCAGCUUACUACCUCUUCAGUUAACUAUUUAGGUACACUUCUCACUUCAACCUCUAAAAGCCUGACAUCAGACAGAAUUCAAGCUCUCCAUGACCUACAACCACCCAAAACAGUGGACUACAUCCUCUCCUUCCUGGGUCUGGCAGACUUUUUCAGGCAUUGGGUUCCCCACUUUGCACUUCUUACCAAUCCCUUAUACAAGGCCACUAAGGAGACCCCUCAUUGGACCCUCACCUCCCCUAAGCUAGUAGCCAAUUCCUUUUGCAAGCUCAGGAAUGCUCUUACAUAUUCUUGCACUCUCUCUUCCUAACCCUAAACACCCUUUCCACCUCGUUAUGGAUGAAAGACAGGGUAUCACCACUGGCCUCCUCGCUCAGCCAACUGCACCCUCCUAUAAGCCGAUGGGAUACCUCUACAUGCAGCUUCACU